GAUGAACGCUAGCGGGAGGCCUAACACAUGCAAGCCGAGCGGUAUUUAUUCUUCGGAAUAGAGAGAGCGGCGUACGGGUGCGUAACACGUGUGCAACCUACCUUUAUCAGGGGAAUAGCCUUUCGAAAGGAAGAUUAAUACUCCAUAAUAUAUUAGAUGGCAUCAUUUAAUAUUGAAAACUCCGGUGGAUAAAGAUGGGCACGCGCAAGAUUAGAUAGUUGGUGAGGUAACGGCUCACCAAGUCAAUGAUCUUUAGGGGUCCUGAGAGGGAGAUCCCCCACACUGGUACUGAGACACGGACCAGACUCCUACGGGAGGCAGCAGUGAGGAAUAUUGGACAAUGGGUGAGAGCCUGAUCCAGCCAUCCCGCGUGAAGGAUGACGGUCCUAUGGAUUGUAAACUUCUUUUGUAUAGGAAUAAACCUAGAUACGUGUAUCUAGCUGAAGGUACUAUACGAAUAAGCACCGGCUAACUCCGUGCCAGCAGCCGCGGUAAUACGGAGGGUGCAAGCGUUAUCCGGAUUUAUUGGGUUUAAAGGGUCCGUAGGCGGACCGAUAAGUCAGUGGUGAAAUCUCAUAGCUUAACUAUGAAACUGCCAUUGAUACUGUCGGUCUUGAGUAAAUUUGAAGUGGCUGGAAUAAGUAGUGUAGCGGUGAAAUGCAUAGAUAUUACUUAGAACACCAAUUGCGAAGGCAGGUCACUAAGAUUUACUGACGCUGAGGGACGAAAGCGUGGGGAGCGAACAGGAUUAGAUACCCUGGUAGUCCACGCCGUAAACGAUGCUAACUCGUUUUUGGGGCGCAAGCUUCAGAGACCAAGCGAAAGCGAUAAGUUAGCCACCUGGGGAGUACGUUCGCAAGAAUGAAACUCAAAGGAAUUGACGGGGGCCCGCACAAGCGGUGGAUUAUGUGGUUUAAUUCGAUGAUACGCGAGGAACCUUACCAAGGCUUAAAUGGGAAAUGACAGGUUUAGAAAUAGAUCCUUCUUCGGACAUUUUUCAAGGUGCUGCAUGGUUGUCGUCAGCUCGUGCCGUGAGGUGUUAGGUUAAGUCCUGCAACGAGCGCAACCCCUGUCACUAGUUGCUAACAUUAAGUUGAGGACUCUAGUGAGACUGCCUACGCAAGUAGAGAGGAAGGUGGGGAUGACGUCAAAUCAUCACGGCCCUUACGCCUUGGGCCACACACGUAAUACAAUGGCCGGUACAGAGGGCAGCUACACAGCGAUGUGAUGCGAAUCUCGAAAGCCGGUCUCAGUUCGGAUUGGAGUCUGCAACUCGACUCUAUGAAGCUGGAAUCGCUAGUAAUCGCGCAUCAGCCAUGGCGCGGUGAAUACGUUCCCGGGCCUUGUACACACCGCCCGUCAAGCCAUGGAAGUCUGGGGUACCUGAAGUCGGUGACCGUAAAAGGAGCUGCCUAGGGUAAAACAGGUAACUAGGGC
rnacentral:rRNA from 1 species